GUGAGAAUCACAGUGCAGUUCUCCUCUGGCAUGGAGGGCAAGAGGAGCUGAAUAGCUAAUGGAUGAUAAAUUGCUAGCCUUUCCCUGCCAAAGGAGAGCUGCCCUGCCAUUCAGUG
rfam:Oryza sativa (indica cultivar-group) chromosome 2, whole genome shotgun sequence.